rnacentral:rRNA from 1 species
GUGGGGAAUAUUGCACAAUGGGGGAAACCCUGAUGCAGCGACGCCGCGUGAGCGAAGAAGGAUUUCGAUUCGUAAAGCUCUGUCCUAUGGGAAGAUAAUGACGGUACCAUAGGAGGAAGCCCCGGCUAACUACGUGCCAGCAGCCGUGGUAAUACGUAGGGGGCGAGCGUUGUCCGGAAUCACUGGGCGUAAAGGGUUCGCAGGCGGUUUAGAAAGUCAGAUGUGAAAGGCGAGGGCUUAACCCUCGUAAGCAUUUGAAACUAAUAAACUUGAGUAGUGGAGAGGUAAGUGGAAUUCCUAGUGUAGCGGUGAAAUGCGUAGAUAUUAGGAGGAAUACCGGUGGCGAAGGCGACUUACUGGCCACAAACUGACGCUGAGGAACGAAAGCGUGGGUAGCAAACAGGA